UACGGAGGGGGCUAGCGUUGUUCGGAAUUACUGGGCGUAAAGGGCGCGUAGGCGGAAUGGCAAGUCGGUCGUGAAAUCCUUCGGCUCAACCGAAGAACGUCGAUCGAAACUGCCGUUCUUGAGGAUUGCAGAGGAGACUGGAAUUCCCGGUGUAGCGGUGAAAUGUGUAGAGAUCGGGAGGAACACCGGUGGCGAAGGCGGGUCUCUGGGCAAUUCCUGACGCUGAGGCGCGAAAGCGUGGGGAGCAAACGGG
rnacentral:rRNA from 1 species